GCGCCUGUAGCUCAGCUGGAUAGAGCGCCGGACUUCGAAUCCGUAGGCCGCAGGUUCCCCCGAUGUAUCGGGGCUGCCAGGCGCG
rnacentral:tRNA from 1 species